ACUAUAUCUAGCCCAAUCCCCUCCCCCAUCUAAAUUACCAACACAGUCUAAAACAAAACAUUUACCCUAAUUAAAGUAUAGGAGAUAGAAAUUCUAAAUAUGGCGCUAUAGAGAAAGUACCGUAAGGGAAUGAUGAAAGAAAAAGAAUUAAAGUACAAAAAAGCAAAGAUUAACCCUUGUACCUUUUGCAUAAUGAAUUAACGAGCAAAAAACUUAACAAAAGGAAUUUUAGCUAAGUAACCCGAAACCAGACGAGCUACUUAUGGGCAGUUUAUCAGAACUAACUCAUCUAUGUGGCAAAAUAGUGAGGAGACCCAUAAGUAGAGGUGACAUGCCUAACGAGCCUGGUGAUAGCUGGUUGUCCAGACAAUGACUUUUAGUUCAGCUUUAAAAAUACCAAAAAUAUACCUAAAUCUUACUGUAUUUUUAAAAGUUAGUCUAAAAAGGUUCAGCCUUUUAGAAAUGGAUACAACCUUCACUAGAGAGUAAGACUUUACAACACCAUAGUAGGCCUAAAAGCAGCCAUCAAUUAAGAAAGCGUUAAAGCUCAACAAUAAAGAUAAAAAUAAUCCCAACAAUAGUGCAACUAACCCCUAGACCUAAUACUGGACCACUCUAUUGUUUAAUAGAAGCAAUAAUGUUAAUAUGAGUAACAAGAAAUAUUUUUCUCCUGCACAAGUUUAAGUCAGUAUCUGAUAAUAUUCUGACUGUUAACAGUAAAUAAAAACAACCUAACGAUAAAUAAUUUAUUAAUUACACUGUUAACCCAACACAGGAGUGCACCCAGGAAAGAUUAAAAGAAGUAAAAGGAACUCGGCAAACACAAACCCCGCCUGUUUACCAAAAACAUCACCUCCAGCAUUUCCAGUAUUGGAGGCACUGCCUGCCCAGUGACUAGACGUUAAACGGCCGNGGUAUCCUGACCGUGCAAAGGUAGCAUAAUCAUUUGUUCUCUAAAUAAGGACUUGUAUGAACGGCCACACGAGGGUUUUACUGUCUCUUACUUCCAAUCAGUGAAAUUGACCUCCCGUGAAGAGGCGGGAAUGAAUUAACAAGACGAGAAGACCCUAUGGAGCUUUAACUAACUAGUCCAAAAGAAAUAAAUCCAACCACUAAGGGAUAAUAACAUUCUUUAUGGACUAGCAGUUUUGGUUGGGGUGACCUCGGAGAACAAGAGAUCCUCCGAACGAUUUUAAAGACUAGACUUACAAGUCAAACCAAAUUACGCUUAUUGAUCCAAAAAACUUGAUCAACGGAACAAGUUACCCUAGGGAUAACAGCGCAAUCCUAUUCAAGAGUCCAUAUCGACAAUAGGGUUUACGACCUCGAUGUUGGAUCAGGACAUCCUGAUGGUGCAACCGCUAUCAAAGGUUCGUUUGUUCAACGAUUAAAGUCCUACGUGAUCUGAGUUCAGAGCGGAGCAAU
rnacentral:rRNA from 1 species